CAUUGAUUUCUUUUAUAGGAGCUAUCCCUGCACCAAUAUUUUUUGCAGAAACAUCAGCUUUAUGUUGUAGUUUUUGGGACAUUGAUGAAUGUGGAAUUAAAGUACGUUGUUGGAUUUAUAAAAAGAAACAAUUGGCCUACACAUUUGUAGCAAUAUGGAUUAGCAUGCAAGUAGCCACAAGCUUGCUUUGUAUUUAUGCGGUGAGCAAACAUGAUUACGUGGUAAAAGAAAAUACUGAGAGUCUGAAUACACCUGUGAAGAGUAAAAAAGCAAAAACAGAAGAUGGCAAAGAUUAAUUACAAACUGAUUUCAUCAUUGUGACUGGAGAAUCAGUGAGGUUCUGAGUUCUAAGGACUGCAGUCUGUCAUUUUGGAGAUUUCAUAAGAUGCAGCUGUGCUGUAAUUUCAGAAGAGAAAAAUACCAUUAAAGUG
rnacentral:lncRNA from 1 species